rnacentral:lncRNA from 1 species
GCUGAUUAGAUUAUAAAUGCACAAAAGAAUAACUCACAUAAUCAUGUAGCCUUUGAGUUGGACGGUUUGCUUUUGCUUGUUUUUGAAGAUUGCUUAGAAUGUGACUUCGUCUUAGUGCUAGUGGUGGUGGCCUUGCUCUUGCUCUUGCUUCCUAGAACCUGUGACUUGGAAGCAUUGUUUUCAUUUAUUUCUUUAUCCUUAAACUCAUGUAUCAGCUCUCAAAUGAGAGAAAUGAAAGCAAUAAAUAGGGUGUGUUUGGUUUGACUUUUGGCUUUGGCUUUUGCCCCCCUAAAAGCCAAAAGCCAACCAAAGGGCUGGAUCCAGAAAGCAGCUUUUUCUAAAAGCCGACUUUCUCGUAGUGCAAAUCUGAAAGCACACUUGGACCUGCUUUUAGUGGCUUUUCGGAUGGAACUAUAAAAACAAAUAUCGAAGAGUUUUUAACGACUUUUAGUGGUUUCCACCAAACGGUUUUUAGCUUUUUAACAGCUUACAGCCUACAGCAGCUUUUUCCACAGCUCACAGCCCACAGCAACUUUUUUCACAGCCACAGCCCAACCAAACAGACCCAUAAUUUAUUCGUCAACACAAACAAUAAAUAAAAGAGAUGGUUUAUUGAAUCACCUUCUUCUAGCUUAGCCAACUCUUCAGUAUUCUCAGCAACAUUGAUUGGUGUAGCCCUCCUAACCCAAUCAUUUGUGCAUACAAGAGCUUCGACCAUAAAUGGAGUGAGGGAAGUUCUAAAAUCAUCU